AGAGGCAUCAGAGACUUGGGGCUUCUUUCAAAUUUCUAACCAUGGAAUACCAGUUGGUGUUCUAGAGGAGAUGAAGGAUAGUGUACGUGGGUUUUUUGAGCAAGACACUCAUGUGAAGAAACAGUUUUACAAUCGUGAUCCGCUCAAACCUGUGGGCUACAAUAGCAACUUUGAUCUAUACCGAGCACCGGCGACUAAUUGGAGGGAUACUUUUAGGUGCUACAUGGCUCCUAAUCCUGCUAAGCCUGAAGACAUGCCAGAAGUAUUCAGGUAUGUGACAAGGAAAUUUAUAAUUCUCUGCUAUAAUUGGAAAAUUUAUGUUGAUAUCAAUUAUUUGAUUUAAAUUCCAUCCCUGAAUUUGAUGAGUUAAUUAGAUGAUAUGGUAUACUUUGUCCAGCUUAAUUUUAAGUUUAAUGUACAUUUAUCUUGCUUCGGAAUUGGAUACAGACCACCCAUCUGAGGUUUAUAUGGAUGGGUUGAAAGCAUCACCAAACUAGUUGGUCUUUUUGAUUAAGUUUGGUAUUAAAGCAGGCCUAAUUCCUUGUCUGCUAUCGCCAGUGACAAGUCUAUUGCGUGUCUGGGAGAGGGGUAAAAUGUCCCAAACAAGAAUCACAUAUUGAAUAAGAAUGAGUUUUGAUGUGAGCUUUAUACAUGAGUAAGUAGGAAAAAACUCAGCCUCCAACAGGCUAGUUUUGUUGGGUUAAGUGGCAAAGACUCAGCCUCCAACAGUAGGCCAUUUUCCUUUUCUAAACAUAAAACAAAAGCCAUUCAGCUUACCGUUUUGGUUAAAUGCCUCUCACUAGAAUGUUUAAUUGAAUUAUGUAUAUAUGACAACUUCAUGUGCUUUGCUGUUUUUCAUCUUUUGUAGAGACAUACUUAUUGAGUACUCCAAGCAAGUAAUGAAAUUGGGGAAGUUGUUGUUCGAGUUGCUGUCCGAGGCUCUUGGGCUAAAGCCAAGUUACUUGAAUGACAUAGAUUGUAGUUUAGGGCUUUUGCUUGGAGGGCAUUACUAUCCCUCAUGUCCACAGCCAGAGUUAACUAUGGGGGCAAGCAAGCAUGCUGACAAUGAUUUCCUCACAGUCCUUCUGCAAGAUCAUAUUGGUGGUCUCCAAGUUCUUCAUCAGAACAAGUGGAUUGAUGUGCCCCCAAUGCCUGGGGCUCUAGUGGUUAACAUAGGAGAUCUUCUACAGGCAAGUACAACUUUUCUUCUUCUUCAUCUCUUAUUAGUAUUGUAUUAGAACAUGACUCAUAUUCUUCCAUCUCGUUUCCUAGUUUGGUUUUAUUUUUAAUAAAUAAAUAAAUAAAAUUAUGGUUGAGUUCUUUUGGGUUUGCAGGUUUUAUCAAAUGAUAGAUUCAAGAGUGCAGAGCACAGGGUAUUGGCAAACCGUGUAGGUCCAAGAGUAUCAGUUCCAUGCUUCUUUACCACAGGUAUGCUACCAUUGGAAAGACUCUAUGGACCCAUCAAAGAGUUAUUGUCAGAAGACAACCCUCCAAAGUACAGGGAGACAACUAUAAGGGAAUAUACUGCCCACUUCAAUGACAAGGGCCUUGAUGGCACCUCUGCUUUGACUCAUUUUAAGCUUUGAACUUGGAGAUAGAGGAGCAGUGCAGCCCUGAACAAAAUAUUUAGCAGACACCAUUUGUUUACUGUAGCUGCUCCAAUUUCUUUUUUAAAAUUUCAUAAACUGUCUCUGUUGUGGUUUGCUAAUAGCCUUCAUGCACUUGUAAAAUCAUGCUUGCCAGCAAAAGCAGGUUUUUAAGAGUUAAAUGCCUGAUGCAGGAUAUAUGUCAAAGUUAUAAAGUAAGAUAUUUAUCUGUUACUGUGGUUUGAUAGAAUCCUGCAAAUCAUGUUUGUGAACAUAUUAGAUGGAAUCCUGUUUCAAAAGCAGAAAUUUUCAACUAUGAUGAUAUAUUGAAAAGUCUUGAAGUUAAUAAAAUUUUAUAAUCAAUAUCACAUGUCGGUACGCAAACUCUAAAUAUGGUUAACCCAAAAUGAAUAUAUUAAUGUCACAAUUUAUUAAAAUUACUUUUGUUCUAUUUCAACUUUCAACAGAUUACUUUUAAAAAAAUUUUACUUACUAGAAUAUGUUAACAUAUAUAGACCAUUAUCUUAUAUAUUUAUUCAAUCAUUAGUGUAAUAAGGCUUAUAGAAAUGCAGAGAGAUUGAGUAGAAGAAAGAGGAGAGAAUUUCAGAGAGAGAGAAUGGAGAAGAAGCUAGCUAAAAAAUUGUAUUAGCUCAGCUCUAAAAUGUCAUGCAUAUAUUGUGCUAUGACAAAACCGUUAGGAAUGGAAUAUUCCUCAUUACAUCAUUCAAUCCUAGCCUCUCAUUUAACUACCCUAUGAGAUAGAGACAAGUGGCACAAGACUAUUACAUUUUCUGCUGCAUACUUGGACUGUGAUCCAAAGCUGCCUAUUAAAACAAAGAAUAGAAACUUCUUUUUGUUCUAAUUACAUUUCAGCAAUCACACUUACAAACCAACAUAUCCGGACCCUUUUGUCUUGCUCUGCACUCUUCAAAACCAGCAAGUUCAACGAGGAGUUCAUUUUUAUAAGAUUAGCUUGGAGGAUGUGUUACGACAUGCUUUAGUUUAAACCAGAAAAUACACAAAAGUCAAAGAAUGAAUAUAUUUUUGGCAUUUUCAACUUUGCUCUAUGAUCUUUAUAAUAAAGUGAUCUUCUUUGCAAAAAUAUGCACUUCUGGUCUGAAUCAAAUCCAAUCUGAUAUCCAUUAGACCAAAAUGGUAGCUAACAACACAAAUGAGGUUCAAACUUCAAACAAAUUAUGACAGACACAGUGAGCUAAAAGCUUUUGACGACACCAAGGAAGGUGUUAAAGGCCUUGUUGAUGCUGGUAUAACUGAGGUUCCUAGGAUUUUUCAUCAACCACCAGAUGAGCACUUCAUUGACAGCACUUCUGAUUCAGAAGCCACCCAAACCCAAUUUAGCAUUCCACUCAUAGACCUUGAAGGCCUUGCUCUUGAUAGUCUGACGAAACGAAAGGAGAUCGUUGCAAAAGUUGGAGAGGCAUCAGAGACUUGGGGCUUUUUCCAAAUUGCCAAUCAUGGAAUUCCUAUUGGUGUUCUGGAGGAGAUAAAGGAUGGGGUGCGUGGUUUUUUUGAGCAAGACACUGAGGUGAAGAAAGAGCUUUACACUCGUGAUUACUUCAUACCUGUGAUCUAUAAUAGCAACUCUGAUCUAUAUAAAGCACCAGCGACUAACUGGAGGGAUACUUUUAUCUGUUACAUGGCUCCUUACGCAAAGAAGCCAGAAGACUUGCCUGAAGUAUGCAGGUAUAUGUCACAACGAAACUUACAUAUAAUUCUCUGCUACAAUUUGUAGUUUAUUUGAUGAUAUUAAUUAGCUUGACAGCUUCAUAUGUGGUUAAACUUUGUAGAGACAUUCUUAUUGAGUACUCCAAGCAAAUAAUGAGGUUGGGGAAGUUGUUGUUCGAGUUGUUGUCGGAGGCUCUUGGGCUGACACCAAGUCACUUGAAUGACAUAGAUUGUAGUGAGGGCCUUGUGCUUCUGUGCAAUUACUAUCCUGCUUGUCCACAGCCAGAAUUAACUUUGGGCACAAGCAAACAUGCUGACAGUUACUUCCUCACAGUCCUUCUGCAAGAUCAUAUUGGUGGCCUCCAAGUUCUUCACAAGAACAAGUGGAUUGAUGUGCCCCCAGUGCCUGGGGCUUUAGUGGUUAACGUUGGAGAUCUUUUACAGGCAAGUAGAACAAUUAUUUUCUUCAUCUUAACAAAGUUGAAACUACAGUAGCUAUAGUAACAAUUAUUAUAAAUCACAAAAAUCAUUUGUUACUUUUGGCUAUUUCAUCAUCUAGUGAUUAAAAUUGAAGAAAUUUUUUGGUGGUGCAUAUAGUAUUAUUGUCGUAGAAUAUGUGUCGAAUGCUUCGAUUUAGUUUCCUACCUUGGGUUUUUUUUUAAGAUGAUGAACUCAUUUCGGGUUGCAGCUUAUAUCAAAUGAAAGAUUCAAGAGUGUAGAGCACAGGGUACUGGCAAACCGUGUAGGUCCAAGAGUAUCUGUUGCGAGCUUCUUCACCACAGGAAUGUUACCGUUGAAAAAACUCUAUGGACCCAUCAAGGAGCUAGUAUCAGGGGACAAUCCUCCAAAGUACAGGGAGAAAAACUGUGAAGGACUUUAAUGCCCACGUCAAUAUCAAAGGCCUUGAUGGAACCUCUGCCUUGAAUCAUUUCAAGCUCUGAACUUGGACACAGAGGAGGAGCACAAUGAACAAAUGAUCUCUACUAAAUAACUUGCAUGCAUGAUACUGUAAGGUUAUUGUUUGUACAUGCAUGACUUAACUAUAAUCUGUUGCGGAAUAAGAUGGCUUCUCAGAUUUUUAUGAUAUUCUCUUGUAAAAUCUUGUUUGUCUACAAAAGCAGAGUUUCAACUAUAACCAGAUUUAAUGCAACGCAAGCCAAUAAUCUUAGAAAACCUGCAAGUUAACUGAGUUGUUCAUUUUUCAGAUGAAGAUACUGUUAGACCAAGGUCUGACGUGGAUAAAGCUACUGGGUUUUUGAAUUUGAAUGAUAGUUCUUUAUCCUCUGGUUCGUUUGAAUGAGGAGUUUUGUAUUGUAUAGAAAUAGAACUCUAUCACUUAAUAGCUGAAAUCCUGUUUUGUAGGAACAGCUUUCUGUUUUUCAAACCUUGCUCUGAUACCAUGAAAGACUUUGAAAUAGCAUGAAAAGCUUACCGACCAAUAUGGCUGCAGCUGUGUAUUUAUAUUGAUUGUAUUGAUAAGUACAGGUUUGAGUAUUUUGGAUAUUUGGGAGGAAGGAAGAAAGCACAGAAACGAAUGAAGAAGAGAACGUUGCCCUGAAAGAAAAAACUGGAGAUUACCAUUCAUUUAAUUCCACUAUUCAUGUAUAUUCGUAUGAGAAGAGAGAGGUGUGAAGCUUCUCUAACUGCUUUACAGGGAUUAAAUCCUAGCCUUUGAUCCUAUCACCCUAUGAGAUGAUUACACUUGUCUUAAUCUGACAAUUAUAUCCUAGGCCACUUGGACUAUGAUCCAACGGCUCUCAUUACAACCAGAAAUUAAAACAUAUAAAAUAAAAUUCAAAACUUUGACUUUAGCUCCAAGGAUUUCAGCUGAAGGGUUACACAUCAACACUCUCUACUGUCUUAGAAUGCUAAAUAUGACAAGUAAAGACUGAUUAUACCACUAAGCCAAAACUAUGAAAGCCAAGUGAGUCUGUGGCUUCAUCCUUACAAAAUAAAGUAGAAUGAAUACAACCAAAAAUAAGACAAGUUUCUGUCCAAAAUGUUUCAAGACCUAUUUGACAGAAACUUAUCUACACCAUUACAACGAGGACAUUAACAUAAUUUUAACAAAAGCAUUAUCCUUUGAUAUCAGCUGCCUUGGGACCACUUCUUAUCCGUAGAGUUGGAUCCAUCCUCUUAUCAACUUAAAGGCUACGCACUCUUCUGCUUUUUCUCUAUAUUCUGGUUGAUCCUCAACCACCUUUUAUAAUCCUAAACCAAAUUAAGAAAAUGUUUGCAGAAGACGAUCAUGAACUCGAGGCUAACAGUGACCGCAUGAGUGAGUUAAAAGCAUUUGAUGCGACCAAAGCUGGCGUUAAGGGACUGCUCUAUACAGAUCUCACAAAAAUUCCAAGUAUUUGUUGGGAAAGAUUGCGAAAAAUCAAAGAGUCAAUAAAUAUAUAUGGCACUUUCAGGAUCUGACUUCUCUCAGCCUUGUGUAAAUAAAAUAGGUAAAAAAUAAUAAUCUAUCUUACACUAAGAAAAAUAAUGGGAAUACAAUAAUAAACUCACCAAACACCGGUGGUUAAACUCUCUCCUGAUUUUUCUCUCAAGAGAAUUUUCUCUCUCACACAAGUAAGGUUUUCAUAUCUCUCAAAACUGUCUAAGUUUUGGUUUUCUGAGGGAUGAUUUGAACUGAAAGAAGGCAGCUGCUUUUAUAGCCAACGUUCCUAACAAAUUAGUGACCUUGCAUGAGAGAGAGUUUUUCUCAUUUUCUCUUUCAUUCUUUUUCUUCAAAUUUUCCCGUCCUUUAUUUUAUUUUAUUUUAAUAUUUAUUAUCCUUCUUUUUCUCUCCUCCACUAACGAGGGAAACCCAUCAGUAUUUUCUACUCUUCAUCACGACCAAGCUUCGACGCAAAGAAGCUGCAAAGUGAUGAUGUCCAGUUCAGUGUUCCAAUCAUUGAUCUCAGAGGCAUCCAAAACGACGCAGUUUCUGUUAGAGUUUUGAACAGAUUUUGGAGAAGAAAAGAAAAACAAUAUGCAAGAGAAAAACCGAGAGCACAGCUAAAACAAUUCUUCUGUAUUUUUGUAUUGUAUUCUCUGCUUUUUUUUCGGGCAAGCUCAGUGUGAGCUAUGUAACUGUUAGAAGCACAGCUGGAUUCUCUUACAUCAUUAGAGAAUCACAGCCUUACAUUCAAAACUGAUAUCUAAGAUCAUUACACGUGGCUAUAGCCACUUACCAUUUAACUGACGCCUAACACUUGCCUAUCUUAGUGACUAAGUGAAUACACAAACUCAGAUUAAAGGCCUAACAUCAUUUAUAUCAGCUCACACACUUAUAUUUCAACACUCCCCUUUAAGUUGUGAGCUGAUUUCACACCAAGCUUCUCUCGUAGAUUCUUUCAGGUGGUGAAUCAUGGAGUUCCUGUUGAUAUUUUGGAUCAGAUGAUCGAUGGCAUACGCGGAUUCCAUGAGCAGGACAGUGAGGUUAAAAAAGAGUUCUAUUCGCGCUUUAGUGGCGUACCAAACAACUCAUAAGAGUCCAGCACAAUGCAGUGAUUAAUUUGGCAAAAUUAUUUUUUCAAUAAUCAAAUUGGAUUUUUCUGUAGAAUUCAAUGACUAAAAAGGUUUUUAACCCAAUAUUAAAUUACUUCUGUUUUUUUUUUCUUUUUUGUCAAAGUUAAAAAUGAAAGAAGAAAAACUCACACACCAAAGAUCUGGAUUAAUCCAACUAACACCGCAUUUUAUUUCAACUAUCACCAAAUUACUAUUAAACAAUUAUUACUUACUAGGGAAUAUUUGGACCCUUUUGUCUUGGCCUGGACUAUUCGAAAACUACAAAUGCAACAAGUUGUUCAUUUAUGUAUACAUAAAAGCAGCUAUGCGGAUGUGUUACGGCAUCCUUUCGAUUAAACAACAAAAUAUGGGUAUGACUAUUUUUUAUUGCCAAUAAUCCACUCAACCAAUGAAUUUUUCGACGAAUUAUAAAUGCAAUUUUAAAAUUUCUUUUAAAAAAUAAAAAAUCAAGUGAACAAUGAAUUUUUGGCAUUUUCAACGUGCUUGAUCUUUGCAAAAGCAUUGUCUUCCCACUCUACUCGUUAUAUAAUGAAGUGAUCUUCUUUGCAAAAAUAUACACUUGUGGCCUGAAUCAAAUCUAAUCUGAUAUCCAUUGAGCCAAGAUGGUAGCUACCAACAAUACAAAUUACGACAGACAAAGUGAGCUGAAGGCCUUUGAUGACACAAAGGAAGGUGUGAAAGGCCUUGUUGAUGCUGGGAUAACUGAGGUUCCUAGAAUUUUUCAUCAACCACCAGAUCAGUACAUCAUCAACAGCAACUUUGAUUCAGAAGCUACGCAGUUUAGCAUUCCACUCAUUGACCUUGAAGGCCUUGAGUUUGAUAGUCCAACGAAACGAAACGAGAUUGUUGCGAAAGUUGGAGAGGCAUCAGAGACUUGGGGCUUCUUUCAAAUUUCUAACCAUGGAAUACCAGUUGGUGUUCUAGAGGAGAUGAAGGAUAGUGUACGUGGGUUUUUUGAGCAAGACACUCAUGUGAAGAAACAGUUUUACAAUCGUGAUCCGCUCAAACCUGUGGGCUACAAUAGCAACUUUGAUCUAUACCGAGCACCGGCGACUAGUUGGAGGGAUACUUUUAGGUGCUACAUGGCUCCUAAUCCUGCCAAGCCUGAAGAAAUGCCAGAAGUAUUCAGGUAUGUGACAAGGAAACUUAUAAUUCUCUGCUAUAAUUGGAAAAUUUAUGAUGAUAUCAAUUAUUUGAUUUAAAUUCCAUCCCUGAAUUUGAUGAGUUAAUUAGAUGAUAUGGUAUACAUUUUCCAGCUUAAUUUUAAGUUUAAUGUACAUUUAUCUUGCUUCGGAAUUGGAUACAAACCACCCAUCUGAGGUUUAUAUGGAUGGGUUGAAAGCAUCGCCAAACUAGUUGGUCUUUUUGAUUAAGUUUGGUAUUAAAGCAGUCCUAAUUCCUUGUCUGCUAUCGCCAGUGACAAGUCUAUUGCGUGUCUGGGAGAGGGGUAAAAUGUCCCAAACAAGAAUCCCAUAUUGAAUAAGAAUGAGUUUGAUGUGAGCUUUAUACGUGAGUAAGUAGGAAAAAACUAAGCCUCCAACAGUAUGCCAUUUGCCUCCAUCAGGCUAGUUUUGUUGGGUUAAGUGGCAAAAACUCAGCCUCCAACAGUAGGCCAUUUUCCUUUUCUAAACAUAAAACAAAAGCCAUUCAGCUUACCGUUUUGGUUAAAUGCCUCUCACUAGAAUGUUUAAUUGAGUUAUGUAUAUAUGACAACUUCAUGUGCUUUGCUGUUUUUCAUCUUUUG
rnacentral:lncRNA from 1 species